rnacentral:rRNA from 1 species
UACGUAGGCAGCGAGCGUUGUUCGGAGUUACUGGGCGUAAAGGGUGCGUAGGCGGUUGUUUAAGUUUGGUGUGAAAUCUCCCGGCUCAACUGGGAGGGUGCGCCGAAUACUGAAUGACUAGAGUGCGGGAGAGGAUAGUGGAAUUCCUGGUGUAGCGGUGAAAUGCGCAGAUAUCAGGAGGAACACCGGUGGUGUAGACGGCUAUCUGGACCGUAACUGACGCUGAGGCACGAAAGCGUGGGUAGCAAACAGG